AGCUUCCUUGGCUCAGUUGGUAGAGCGACGCAUUCGUAAUGCGUAGGUCGCCGGUUCAAGUCCGGCAGGGAGCUU
rnacentral:tRNA from 2 species